CCCAUGUUUCUGAAGGGCUCUUCGGCUUAGGACAAGCCCGAUUACCCAGGCACCGAUGGUGUUUAAAAAAUAUUCUUGAUACAGGAUCUUCAGGAGCCUCAUCACCUGGCUGUCUAAUGAGCAUCUCCAGCUUGCUGUGACCCUGGUCUUCUCUAGAAGACUGGCUUGUCCUGAAGACUUGCUCGUCUCAACUAGAGACACUCCAUCGCCUCAGUUGCUCAGACUAAAUAACAUGGAGUCAUUCUUGAAGACCUUCUUAAAAUUCCAUGUCCAACCUUUCUACAAAUGUUUAGGCUCUACUUUCAAGAUAUAUCCAGAAUCCAGCCACAUCUCAACACAUCCCAGAGCUACCAGUCUGGCCCAAGCUACUGUUGACUCUUACCUGGACUCUGAGAGUAGACUCCAGCUUCUCUUCCUGCUUCUGUCCUUGUCUCUCUACACCCUGUUCUCCAUACAGUCCUCAGAGUGAUGCUGUUAACACGUAACUUAUAUCAAUGACUGAGACCUCAAUGGCUUUUUAUUUAUCUCAGAGUAAUUGCUGAGGGAUGACCCUUGUGGUCCUGUAUUAUCUGGCCCCAAGUUACCUCUGAUCUCAUGGCUGGUCACUCACCCCUUCCCUCACCUGCUCUCACAUAUGGGCUCCCUGCCCUUCUGCAGGACCUUACCUUGGUUGUCCUUUUGCCUGAAAUCCUCUCCCCUCACAUAUAGUACCUUCUCAGGGAGGUCUCCCUUGACUACCAUAUUUAUAAUUGGGAUAACCCACUCCACACAACCACCUAUCUCCCCUCCUUGACUGGUGUUUCCUGCAGCGCUUAAUGAUACCUAAAUCCCAGUAUUUUACUUACUUAUUUUAUUAAUUAUCUGACUCCCUCCACUAAAAUGUGAGCUUCCUGAGGCAGAAUUGUUGUUUUUGUUUCUUCU